GAUGAACGCUGGCGGCGUGCCUAAUACAUGCAAGUCGAGCGAACAGACGAGGAGCUUGCUCCUCUGACGUUAGCGGCGGACGGGUGAGUAACACGUGGAUAACCUACCUAUAAGACUGGGAUAACUUCGGGAAACCGGAGCUAAUACCGGAUAAUAUAUUGAACCGCAUGGUUCAAUAGUGAAAGACGGUUUUGCUGUCACUUAUAGAUGGAUCCGCGCCGCAUUAGCUAGUUGGUAAGGUAACGGCUUACCAAGGCAACGAUGCGUAGCCGACCUGAGAGGGUGAUCGGCCACACUGGAACUGGGACACGGUCCAGACUCCUACGGGAGGCAGCAGUAGGGAAUCUUCCGCAAUGGGCGAAAGCCUGACGGAGCAACGCCGCGUGAGUGAUGAAGGUCUUCGGAUUGUAAAACUCUGUUAUUAGGGAAGAACAAAUGUGUAAGUAACUAUGCACGUCUUGACGGUACCUAAUCAGAAAGCCACGGCUAACUACGUG
rnacentral:rRNA from 1 species